rnacentral:rRNA from 1 species
UUAAAUUGAAGAGUUUGAUCAUGGCUCAGAUUGAACGCUGGCGGCAGGCCUAACACAUGCAAGUCGAACGGUAACAGGAAACAGCUUGCUGAUUUGCUGACGAGUGGCGGACGGGUGAGUAAUGUCUGGGAAACUGCCUGAUGGAGGGGGAUAACUACUGGAAACGGUAGCUAAUACCGCAUAACGUCGCAAGACCAAAGAGGGGGACCUUCGGGCCUCUUGCCAUCGGAUGUGCCCAGAUGGGAUUAGCUAGUAGGUGGGGUAACGGCUCACCUAGGCGACGAUC